CCCUGCCAUUUGUACACACCGCCCGUCGCUACUACCGAUUGAAUGGCUUAGUGAGGCCUUGGGAUUGAUGUGCAGUCUGGCAACAGAACUACAUGUCGAAAACUUGGUCAAACUUGGUCAUUUAGAGGAAGUAA
rnacentral:rRNA from 1 species